GCACAAGCGGUGGAGCAUGUGGUUAAUUCGAAGCAACGCGAAGAACCUUACCAGGUCUUGACAUCCCUGACAACCUGAGAGAUCAGGCGUUCCCCUUCGGGGGACAGGGUGACAGGUGGUGCAUGGUUGUCGUCAGCUCGUGUCGUGAGAUGUUGGGUUAAGUCCCGCAACGAGCGCAACCCUCGACCUUAGUUGCCAGCAUUCAGUUGGGCACUCUAAGGUGACUGCCGGCUAAAAGUCGGAGGAAGGUGGGGAUGACGUCAAAUCAUCAUGCCCCUUAUGACCUGGGCUACACACGUGCUACAAUGGGCGGUACAAAGGGUCGCGAACCCGCGAGGGGGAGCCAAUCCCAAAAAGCCGCUCUCAGUUCGGAUUGCAGGCUGCAACUCGCCUGCAUGAAGCCGGAAUCGCUAGUAAUCGCGGAUCAGCAUGCCGCGGUGAAUACGUUCCCGGGCCUU
rnacentral:rRNA from 1 species